rnacentral:rRNA from 1 species
UAGGGAAUCUUCGGCAAUGGACGGAAGUCUGACCGAGCAACGCCGCGUGAGUGAAGAAGGUUUUCGGAUCGUAAAGCUCUGUUGUUAGAGAAGAACGUUGGUAGGAGUGGAAAAUCUACCAAGUGACGGUAACUAACCAGAAAGGGACGGCUAACUACGUGCCAGCAGCCGCGGUAAUACGUAGGUCCCGAGCGUUGUCCGGAUUUAUUGGGCGUAAAGCGAGGGCAGGCGGUUCUUUAAGUCUGAAGUUAAAGGCAGUGGCUUAACCAUUGUACGCUUUGGAAACUGGAGGACUUGAGUGCAGAAGGGGAGAGUGGAAUUCCGUGUGUAGCGGUGAAAUGCGUAGAUAUAUGGAGGAACACCGGUGGCGAAAGCGGCUCUCUGGUCUGUAACUGACGCUGAGGCUCGAAAGCGUGGGGAGCAAACAGG